AUGCAGUCGAUUCGAUUUCCUUCGGGUAUUGAGGAUGGCGGACGGGUGAGUAACGCGUAAGGAACUUGCCUCUUGGACUGGGACAACUGUUGGAAACGACAGCUAAUACCGGAUAUUAUGAGAUUCUCGCAUGGGAAACUUAUGAAAGCUAUAUGCGCCAAGAGAGAGCCUUGCGUUCCAUUAGCUAGUUGGUGGGGUAAUGGCCCACCAAGGCGACGAUGGAUAGCCGGCCUGAGAGGGUGAACGGCCACAAGGGGACUGAGACACGGCCCUUACUCCUACGGGAGGCAGCAGUGGGGAAUAUUGGACAAUGGGCCACAAGCCUGAUCCAGCAAUUCUGUGUGCACGAUGAAGGUCUUCGGAUCGUAAAGUGCUUUCAGUUGGGAAGAAGAAAGUGACGGUACCAACAGAAGAAGCGACGGCUAAAUACGUGCCAGCAGCCGCGGUAAUACGUAUGUCGCAAGCGUUAUCCGGAUUUAUUGGGCGUAAAGCGCGUCUAGGCGGAAAAGUAAGUCUGAUGUUAAAAUGCGGGGCUCAACUCCGUAUUGCGUUGAAACUGUUUUUCUAGAGUACUGGAGAGGUGGGCGGAACUACAAGUGUAGAGGUGAAAUUCGUAGAUAUUUGUAGGAAUGCCGAUGGAGAAGUCAGCUCACUGGACAGAUACCGACGCUAAAGCGCGAAAGCGUGGGGAGCAAACAGGAUUAGAUACCCUGGUAGUCCACGCCGUAUACGAUGAUCACUAGGUGUUGGGGGCCGAACCUCAGCGC
rnacentral:rRNA from 1 species